rnacentral:tRNA from 1 species
UUAAAGAUAAGCUAAAAUUAAGCUAAUGGGCUCAUACCCCGUAAAUGAAAGUCCAAUCUUUCUCUUUUUA